rnacentral:rRNA from 1 species
CGGCGGCGUGCCUAUAAUGCGAGUAGAAGCUGACCUCUGGUGCUUGCACUAGAGUGAUGAGUUGCGAACGGGUGAGUAACGCGUAGGUAACCUACCUUUAAGCGGGGGAUAACUAUUGGAAACGAUAGCUAAUACCGCAUAACAACUUUUAACACAUGUUAGGAGUUUGAAAGGGGCAACUGCCUCACUUAGAGAUGGACCUGCGUUGUAUUAGCUAGUUGGUAGGGUAAAGGCCUACCAAGGCGACGAUACAUAGCCGACCUGAGAGGGUGAUCGGCCACACUGGGACUGAGACACGGCCCAGACUCCUACGGGAGGCAGCAGUAGGGAAUCUUCGGCAAUGGGGGCAACCCUGACCGAGCAACGCCGCGUGAGUGAAGAAGGUUUUAGGAUCGUAAAGCUCUGUUGUAAGAGAAGAAUGUUGUGUAGAGUGGAAAGUUACACAAGUGACGGUAUCUUACCAGAAAGGGACGGCUAACUACGUGCCAGCAGCCGCGGUAAU